rnacentral:tRNA from 3 species
UAGAAUAAAGCUCGCUGGAUAGAGUGUUUAGCUGUUAACUAAAAUGUUACGGGAUCGAGGCCCGUUAUUCUAG